rnacentral:lncRNA from 1 species
CUCAACAAUAUGCACGUUGCCAAACCGCAUUAGCUUAAAAUUGUUCAAUCGCAUUAAACUUGAAAAUUACUCCCAGUUGAUUUUAAUGCAGUUUGGUGAGUGCAAUACUGCAAUCUGGGACUGGUGGCAAUCAGAGAGAGAGAGAGAGAGAAGAGGGACGAGAACGAGAAAUCGGGCGCACUAUAAAUUUUAUAGUUUCACUUCGGAUGGAAGAACGUACACAAGUCCGUAGUUAGAAAAUGUACACACGUGAAAGCAAUUUAAUUUUUAGUCUCCAUUUCCUCAUAUUCGUCACGUGUUGGUGUAUUCUAUCAAGCGUUGGUGAGAGCACCGAUGCGUUUAUUGACGAGGGGUCGUCGCAUGACAAACCACAUCAGGACUCGAAGAUAGCGCGGUUCAAACGGGAAGUAAGAAAUGAGACACAAAAAGUGAAUCGCACUACUUUGGACAAACAUGAGGCCACUCCUCCACCUAUCGAAGAGUCUGUCUACAAAUACUCAAAUUUCGAGGAGCUGAGGCGUUCCCCGGCGUUCGUCGACAAAACUCUCCUCAUAAAGCAUCUGCUGGACCAAAAACUGAAUCUCUCUACGCGGCUGUAUAUAACAGCGCCCGGCCUCUUCGGCAAGACGCUAAACCUCGACAUGCUUGAUCGCUUCCUAAGAUUACACAGGCAAGACACAGGAGGGCUGAUGGAACACCCCGCAUCCAAAUUAUUCUCAGGCACAAAGAUUUCAACCCAAGAGAAUGAUUUUAUCCACGCCCAUCAUGGACAAUACAUCGUACUGCGCUUAUCACUAGGACCGUUAUAUAAUAUAACGACCUACAAUAUGUUCAAAGACACCCUGUGCAGCAUUAUCAGCGACGCGGAAUGGCAGAUAGACUCGAUGUCAGGCAAAUCGAGUGACGAAAAAAUGACGUCGCUUGCGUAUUAUCGCGAGCACUGUAGAUUGAACUUCCUGUCUGCGGCGGAUAUACUUCCAUCUCGGCUAAAGCGCCUGUCAGAGACCCUCGGGAAAAGGGCCGUCCUGCUUUGGGACGACUUGGACAUACUGUUGCGUGCUUCGAUCAGGAGAACGCUUCCGGAUACGAAAUCUAUCUAUAGAACUAUGAGCCGCGUCAUGGUUCGACUUACGCACUCCGACGUCGUUAGACUGUCUGUGGCUGUCGGGAGGUUGAAUUUUGGAGGUGUGAUGUCCAGUAUUGCCAACUGCACCCACGUUGCUUUCAACGGAAAUGCAGGUUUGGCUCCGUUUUUUGGUCUGACCAAAAGUGAAGUCCACGAUCUCGUGGAGGCUUACCGUUUGCCUUUGCCGCAGCAAAUUGAGCUGUACUACAACGGUUACGAGGUUAUGGGCUCAGAUUUGCGCAUCUACAACUCGUUUUCGAUUGCGUCACUCGUCGGGUCGAAGAGGUUCGACUUCUACUGGCAGAAUCAGGUCGCGCCUUUGUUCCCGUUCACGCAGCUUUUUGCCACGCCAUUGAUCGGUACACAGGUGGCAUUCAGCGUCUUCGCGAAGUGGAUCUCCGCCCCGAAAGACAUCCCUCCAUCCAUCCGAUCGGUCACAAACCUACAGGCGCAACUCGAGAGGAUGACCCCGAAGAUCAACGAGACCCACUCCGCCGUUUUCAUGUCGUACCUCCUGGAAACGGGUUACUACACCAUCGGCGCCCACAAUCAAGGCUCGCAAAUGCGUCUGGCCGACUUGGAGACGGUGGUCCCUGUGAUGGCUCAGCUCUUCUUGAGCGGCUACUACGAGCGCUACUACGAGUACACAAGCAACGCCAAAGUGAUAUUCCUGGCCGCCGUCGCCACACUGUCCCCUAACCAAAGUUCUUAUGAUCGACUUGCCUGGGCAAUACACAACCUGUAUAGCCUCAGUUGCUCCAAGCUAGUCGACCAGCGACCGGGGUUGCUGGGCAAUUUAGUGGCCAUCUUCUCUUCGACGCAGGCGGUGCACGCUGGUGUCACGGAUGUCGUGUACGGGAAGCGGGUGCCGCUCGAUAAACGGAAGAGUGAAGGACAUGCUUUUGGAAGUUUGGACCUGAUGGUAACGUUCGGAAACCAGACGUCGACAAAUCUGGGCGUUCUGAUUGAGCUGGCUCUUUGGAAAUCAGCCGAGCUGGCGAUGACUCAGCUAGAGACCUUCAAGUGUAUGGAGGCUUUCAAUGAUUGCCGGAGGAAAUGCGCCCGAAAAAUGUUGUUUUGUUGGGGUGAAUUUGGACAAAACGUGCAAGUGCACGGUGAGGUACAAGUACGGCAAGGAGAGUACCGGUCAAACAUCUUUCCCGAAACCGCAAAAUCCUGA